rnacentral:lncRNA from 1 species
UUCAGAGUACACUACCCCUUCCAUUUACCGGCGAUUGGUUUCCCCUAUCAGUUUCACUUGAAGCCUACUACUUUAAGCCCACUUUUGAGAAGGAAUCCCAAACACGCCCCGGUCAGUUUUCUGAAACCCUAAUUUUUCUAUUUAUGGUGAACGGGAUACUGUAAUGGAUGAAUUGAGGGAAACGGGAGUAGAGGAAGAGUAUCAGAUUCAGUUGGCGUUCAGUGCUAAGGAGGAUUUGAAGGGUAUUCAGAUUGAAGUUGUUAAUUAGAUCAGUUUGGGUUCUGUUCUGGAGAAUAAUCCGGCUAAAUUCGUUGUGUGUUCGUUAUUGGGCUUGUAUAUUGAUUGUGAAACCAUCCGCGAUAGUGCUUCUUCCUAAACGAUUAUGUGAUCCCGAUUUUAUCUUAUUCUUCUUCUUUGAUUCUCCUGAUUGCAACUGCAGCAAGAUGAAAUUUAUGGUAUCAAGUUCGCUAACCAAGGCCUGUAACAAUUCAAUAUUACUUCUACAUCAUCAAGGAUGCGGGAAAGUUGCGGUGUUGCAUCUUGUUCUAUAAGAUUUGUUAAAAGAGUAUCCUCUCAUGAUCUUUUUGGGUUACCUUGCAAUCAAGGAGAAGAUACAAGAAAGAAGAACAGAACUUCAAAAGUAAAAGUAAAGCUGAAGAUCAGAGAGGAAAACCAAGAAGUGAAGAAAAAGUGAAAAACCAUUGCGGGGAAAUCAAAGGGACAGAGAACAAAAGGUAUCUAAAACCUCUUUUAGUCAAAGAUCGUGCAAAAAGAUGACAAAUUCAUCCACACCUUGUAUCCUGAAGAAGGUAUAUAUAUGGUGAAGUUUGAGCCGGGUUGACUUGAAGAAGAACAAGAAUUU